rnacentral:rRNA from 1 species
UACGUAGGGGGCUAGCGUUGUCCGGAUUUAUUGGGCGUAAAGAGCGUGUAGGCGGCCAUGUAGGUCCGGUGUGAAAACUCGAGGCUUAACCUCGAGAUGUCAUCGGAAACCAUUUGGCUAGAGUCCGGAAGAGGAAAGUGGAAUUCCUGGUGUAGCGGUGAAAUGCGCAGAUAUCAGGAAGAACACCGAUGGCGAAAGCAGCUCUCUGGGACGGUACUGACGCUGAGACGCGAAAGCGUGGGGAGCGAACAGG